UGGGGAAUCUUGCGCAAUGCGCGAAAGCGUGACGCAGCAACGCCGCGUGGGGGAAGAAGGCCUUCGGGUUGUAAACCCCUUUCAGUUGGGACGAAGCUUCGGCGGUGAAUAGCCGCCUGGAGUGACGGUACCUUCAGAAGAAGCCCCGGCUAACUACGUGCCAGCAGCCGCGGUAAUACGUAGGGGGCAAGCGUUGUCCGGAAUCAUUGGGCGUAAAGAGCGUGUAGGCGGCUUGGUAAGUCCGCUGUGAAAGUCCAGGGCUCAACCCUGGAAUGCCGGUGGAAACUGCCAAGCUAGAGUCCGGAAGAGGCGAGUGGAAUUCCUGGUGUAGCGGUGAAAUGCGCAGAUAUCAGGAGGAACACCAAUGGCGAAGGCAGCUCGCUGGGACGGUACUGACGCUGAGACGCGAAAGCGUGGGGAGCAAACA
rnacentral:rRNA from 1 species